UGGGGAAUUUUGCGCAAUGGGCGAAAGCCUGACGCAGCAACGCCGCGUGGAGGAUGAAGGCCUUCGGGUCGUAAACUCCUGUCAGGGGGGACGAAAUGUCCUGCGUAAGUGGGACACGGACUGUACCCCCGGAGGAAGCCACGGCUAACUCCGUGCCAGCAGCCGCGGUAAUACGGAGGUGGCUAGCGUUGUUCGGAAUUACUGGGCGUAAAGGGCGCGUAGGCGGCAUGGCAAGUCAGAUGUGAAAGCCCCGGGCUUAACUUGGGAAUUGCAUCUGAAACUGCUUUGCUUGAGUCCUGGAGGGGGUAGUGGAAUUCCCAGUGUAGCGGUGAAAUGCGUAGAUAUUGGGAGGAACACCGGUGGCGAAGGCGGCUACCUGGACAGUGACUGACGCUGAGGCGCGAAAGCUAGGGGAGCGAACGG
rnacentral:rRNA from 1 species